AAUCAUGGAAUUUACAUCUACAAUAUGAAUCACAACAUUUUAAGAGAGAGAUGUGUGCCCUGUUUCUUUAUUUUGGCCAUGAAGAUGAGGGUGAAGGUAUCUGUUUUAUUUAAAGAACUGGUGUUAUUCACAAAUACCUUGAGAUAGUUAAAAGAAAUUCCAUUUCAUGAUAAACUAAUGCAAAUGGAAUGUUUAAAAAUAGAUUUGGAUAUAUUAUCUAAAGUGUGUGGUACUUUUACUGACAAAAGAAAAGGUCAAAACAAUGAAACAGACUCUUGUUGCUACACAUGCCUGGUCAUGGAGCCUCAGGCUUCAGCUAACCCUCCAGGAAAGUGGAUACCAGAUCCUCACUCUCACCCUCCAAACUGUAUUUUAUUCCUUAAUAACUUAACAGAGGAAACUAAUGGGAUGAUGUUAUCAGCUACUCCAUUCUCUGGUUUCAAGGAACUGUUUGGUACCUGGGAGACAUGAUACUGCUUUUGUUGAAUUUUAAAAUGGUGGGUUGGCUGGAGAUGUCAGGUCCCAAGGAUUUCAGGUCAUACCAUCCUACCCU
rnacentral:lncRNA from 1 species